rnacentral:rRNA from 1 species
UGACAGAGGGUGCAAGCGUUUAAUCGGAAUUACUGGGCGUAAAGCGCGCGUAGGCGGCUGUCUAAGUCGGAAUGGUGAAAUCCCCGGGCUUAACCUGGGAACUGCAUUCGAUACUGGGCGGCUAGGAGUAUGAGAGAGGGAGGUAGAAUUCCACGUGUAGCGGUGAAAUGCGUAGAUAUGUGGAGGAAUACCGGUGGCGAAGGCGGCCUCCUGGCUUAAUAACUGACGCUGGAGGUGACGAAAGCCGUGGGGAGCAAACAGG